CCUCACCAUUUGAGCAAUGGGGGACGCAGGAGGAUAGGGUAAGCGCGGUAUUGGAUAUCCGCGUCCAAGCAGUUAGGCUGGGAAAUAGGCAAAUCCGUUUCCCAUAAGGCUGAGCUGUGAUGGCGAGCGAAAUAUAGUAGCGAAGUUCCUGAUUCCACACUGCCAAGAAAAGCCUCUAGCGAGGUGAGAGGUGCCCGUACCGCAAACCGACACAGGUAGGCGAGGAGAGAAUCCUAAGGUGAUCGAGAGAACUCUCGUUAAGGAACUCGGCAAAAUGACCCCGUAACUUCGGGAGAAGGGGUGCUCUGUUAGGGUGCAAGCCCGAGAGAGCCGCAGUGAAUAGGCCCAGGCGACUGUUUAGCAAAAACACAGGUCUCUGCGAAGCCGUAAGGCGAAGUAUAGGGGCUGACGCCUGCCCGGUGCUGGAAGGUUAAGAGGAGCGCUUAGCGUAAGCGAAGGUGCGAAUUGAAGCCCCAGUAAACGGCGGCCGUAACAAUAACGGUCCUAAGGUAGCGAAAUUCCUUGUCGGGUAAGUUCCGACCCGCACGAAAGGCGCAACGAUCUGGGCACUGUCUCAACGAGAGACUCGGUGAAAUUAUAGUACCUGUGAAGAUGCAGGUUACCCGCGACAGGACGGAAAGACCCCGUGGAGCUUUACUGCAGCCUGAUAUUGAAUGUUGGUACAGCUUGUACAGGAUAGGUAGGAGCCUUGGAAACCGGAGCGCCAGCUUCGGUGGAGGCAUCGGUGGGAUACUACCCUGGCUGUAUUGACCUUCUAACCCGCCGCCCUUAUCGGGCGGGGAGACAGUGUCAGGUGGGCAGUUUGACUGGGGCGGUCGCCUCCUAAAAGGUAACGGAGGCGCCCAAAGGUUCCCUCAGAAUGGUUGGAAAUCAUUCGCAGAGUGUAAAGGCACAAGGGAGCUUGACUGCGAGACCUACAAGUCGAGCAGGGACGAAAGUCGGGCUUAGUGAUCCGGUGGUUCCGCAUGGAAGGGCCAUCGCUCAACGGAUAAAAGCUACCCCGGGGAUAACAGGCUUAUCUCCCCCAAGAGUCCACAUCGACGGGGAGGUUUGGCACCUCGAUGUCGGCUCAUCGCAUCCUGGGGCUGUAGUCGGUCCCAAGGGUUGGGCUGUUCGCCCAUUAAAGCGGUACGCGAGCUGGGUUCAGAACGUCGUGAGACAGUUCGGUCCCUAUCCGUCGCGGGCGCAGGAAAUUUGAGAGGAGCUGUCCUUAGUACGAGAGGACCGGGAUGGACGCACCGCUGGUGUACCAGUUGUUCUGCCAAGGGCAUCGCUGGGUAGCUAUGUGCGGACGGGAUAAGUGCUGAAAGCAUCUAAGCAUGAAGCCCCCCUCAAGAUGAGAUUUCCCAUUCCGCAAGGAAGUAAGAUCCCUGAAAGAUGAUCAGGUUGAUAGGUCUGAGGUGGAAGUGUGGCGACACAUGGAGCUGACAGAUACUAGUCGAUCGAGGACUUAACC
rnacentral:rRNA from 1 species